rnacentral:rRNA from 1 species
CGGAUUUACUGGGCGGAAAGAGCGCGCAGGCGGUCGUAUAAGUCGAAUGUGAAAGCCCCGGGCUCAACCUGGGAAUGGCAGUGGAAACUGGUCAGCUGGAGUGCGGUAGAGGAGGGUGGAAUUUCCGGUGUAGCGGUGAAAUGCGUAGAGAUCGGAAGGAACAUCCGUGGCGAAGGCGACCCUCUGGACCAGCACUGACGCUGAGGCACGAAAGCGUGGGGAGCAAACAG